AUGUAAAAUUUUCAUAAAAAUCCUUACAGGGAAGACCUGUAAGGUUGAACCCUCCAAUACAAUAGAAAAUGUAAAGGCCAAGAUCUAGCAUGAGGAAGGAAUUCCUCCUGAUCAGCCAAGACCGAUCUUUACUGGUAAGCAACUGGAAGAUGGGGGCACUUUGACUAGGACAUUAAAAAUAAGUCCGCUCUUCAUCUUGUGCUGAGACUUCCUGGUGGUGCCGAGAAAAGGAAGAAGCCUUGUACCACUUCCAAGUAGAAUAAGCAUAAGAGAAAGGUUAGGCUGGCUCUCCUGAAAUAGUAUAAGGUAGAUAAGAAUGGCAAAAUUAAUCACCUUCAAUGCCCUUCAGAUGAAUGCAGUACUGAAGUUUUCAUGGCCAUUCACUUUAAUAGACAUUAUUGUGGCAAAUGUGGCCUGACUUACUGCUUCAGCAAACCAGAAGACAAGUAA
rnacentral:lncRNA from 1 species